rnacentral:rRNA from 1 species
UACAGAGGGGGCAAGCGUUGUUCGGAAUUACUGGGCGUAAAGGGCGCGUAGGCGGCCUGUUAAGUCGAACGUGAAAUCCCCCGGGCUCAACCCGGGAACUGCGUCCGAUACUGGCAGGCUUGAAUCCGGGAGAGGGAUGCGGAAUUCCAGGUGUAGCGGUGAAAUGCGUAGAUAUCUGGAGGAACACCGGUGGCGAAGGCGGCGAUCCUGGACCGGUAUUGACGCUGAGGCGCGAAAGCCAGGGGAGCAAAACGGGG